GAUGAACGCUGGCGGCGUGCCUAAUACAUGCAAGUCGAGCGAACAGACGAGGAGCUUGCUCCUCUGACGUUAGCGGCGGACGGGUGAGUAACACGUGGAUAACCUACCUAUAAGACUGGGAUAACUUCGGGAAACCGGAGCUAAUACCGGAUAACAUGUUGAACCGCAUGGUUCAACAGUGAAAGACGGUCUUGCUGUCACUUAUAGAUGGAUCCGCGCCGCAUUAGCUAGUUGGUAAGGUAACGGCUUACCAAGGCAACGAUGCGUAGCCGACCUGAGAGGGUGAUCGGCCACACUGGAACUGAGACACGGUCCAGACUCCUACGGGAGGCAGCAGUAGGGAAUCUUACGCAAUGGGCGAAAGCCUGACGGAGCAACGCCGCGUGAGUGAAGAAGGUCUUCGGAUCGUAAAACUCUGUUAUUAGGGAAGAACAAAUGUGUAAGUAACUAUGCACGUAUUGACGGUACCUAAUCAGAAAGCCACGGCUAACUACGUG
rnacentral:rRNA from 1 species